CCCAGACAGCCAGGAUGUUGGCUUAGAAGCAGCCAUCAUUUAAAGAAAGCGUAAUAGCUCACUGGUCGAGUCGGCCUGCGCGGAAGAUGUAACGGGGCUAAACCAUGCACCGAAGCUGCGGCAGCGACACUGUGUGUUGUUGGGUAGGGGAGCGUUCUGUAAGCCUGCGAAGGUGUCCCGUGAGGGAUGCUGGAGGUAUCAGAAGUGCGAAUGCUGACAUAAGUAACGAUAAAGCGGGUGAAAAGCCCGCUCGCCGGAAGACCAAGGGUUCCUGUCCAACGUUAAUCGGGGCAGGGUGAGUCGACCCCUAAGGCGAGGCCGAAAGGCGUAGUCGAUGGGAAACGGGUUAAUAUUCCCGUACUUGGUGUUACUGCGAAGGGGGGACGGAGAAGGCUAUGUUGGCCGGGCGACGGUUGUCCCGGUUUAAGCGUGUAGGCUGGUUUUCCAGGCAAAUCCGGAAAAUCAAGGCUGAGGCGUGAUGACGAGGCACUACGGUGCUGAAGCAACAAAUGCCCUGCUUCCAGGAAAAGCCUCUAAGCAUCAGGUAACAUCAAAUCGUACCCCAAACCGACACAGGUGGUCAGGUAGAGAAUACCAAGGCGCUUGA
rnacentral:rRNA from 2 species